CUUGUCACCUUCCGCAGGUGAGACGCGCAUGCGUGGGCCAGGAGGUGCUGGAAGCUCCCCCAGAGAGGCUGAUGCGUUGUCUCCGUCUGCCCCCUAAAGGAGGACUUCCUCUAACCCAUUCCUUGUGCUUCCGGUGGGCUGUGAGUCACAGGAUGGACUCCCUUUUCCCCAACAGGCAGGUAGGU